UACGUAGGGUGCAAGCGUUAAUCGGAAUUACUGGGCGUAAAGCGUGCGCAGGCGGUUAUGUAAGACAGGUGUGAAAUCCCCGGGCUUAACCUGGGAACUGCAUUUGUGACUGCAUAGCUAGAGUACGGUAGAGGGGGAUGGAAUUCCGCGUGUAGCAGUGAAAUGCGUAGAUAUGCGGAGGAACACCGAUGGCCGAAGGC
rnacentral:rRNA from 1 species